rnacentral:lncRNA from 1 species
AAAAAAAUAAGAUUAAUUAACAAAAAUGUAACUCAAAGUUCAUUAUUUCAAAUUAUGCACAUUUAUUUAUUAAAAGUUUUGAUACCCAACCAUUAGUGACAGACAGAAUGAGGAUUUUGGUUCGAUGGGAACUAUAAUAGUAAAAAAUGAUAAAUUUAAAAUGGUUAUAACAUAACACAUAUCUAAAGGGGCCGAAUUAUAAGAUACACGUAAAAUUAGCUAGAUUCCAAAUUAUACCCCUAUAUUUCCUUCUCUUUUUUUUUUUUUUUUUUUUUUUUUUUUUAAGCCCAUGUAGAAAGGUGCUCAACCUAUAUCAUUUAGACACUACUCAUGAUUUUCAUAUUAAAGUCAAUAAAGAAAAGAGAAAUGGGACCAUUCUUCUAAUUCUAGCCGCUUCCCAACAAACAAAAAUUCAUAUUAAAGUCAAUAAACAAAAAGGAUGAUGAAUAGUGACAGUAGGUGAAGAGAGUUCGUCGGUCCAAAUCUUGACAAAGACUUGAGUUAGGUGAGAAGUAUUUUGGUCCAUUAAUUUUUCUUUAUUUGUAAUUUUAUUCGGCUUUUUGUUAGGUUCUUCUUUGGGUCACUCUCUCUUAGCUUAGGUGGGAUUACUUUAUAUUUGCUUCUUUUAAGUAACUAGUCAAAGUUGGUGAAACUGCUUCACCACAAGAAGAUAUCAUUAUUUUUAUUUUAUUUUAUUUUUUAAAUUAUUGCAUCAGUACUGGGUCAGCAUGAUGUUUUUACCAUUUUUUUUUUGUUAUAUUUACUAGAAAUUAUUAUAGACUUUUUAGUACAAAAAUGAGUAAUAUAGUAGUGAGGUCAGUAGGUAAAUUUACUUGGAUAUAAGUUAUAUUAAAUGGAUAUUAGGAGACAAUUAUUUCCUUAACUUGGUUCCAUGAUCAAUUAAUUUUAUAUGCUUUUUUGUUUUAAAAGAAUAAUACUUCAUGCAAUUCCUCUAUAAAAGGUUAAAAAUUUGAAAAAAAAAAAAAUUAACCUUGUCACUUGAAAGUAUAUUCUUGUUUUAAAGAGUUUUUGUGGAAUUAACCUUGUCACUUGAAAGUAUAUUCUUCUUCAUGCAAUUCCUCUAUAAAAGGUUAAAAAUUUGAAAAAAAAAAAAAUUAACCUUGUCACUUGAAAGUAUAUUCUUGUUUUAAAGAGUUUUUGUGGAGUUUUUGAACGUGUCUACAAUACAGCUGUUAUCAAAUAAAAUUUCAAAUUUUCUAUCAAACCCUCAAGUUUUUCAUCAUCGGCUUCAAAGACUUCGCAUCUUAUAUAUACUAGGUUAGAGUCAAAAAAGAAAAAAAUUUAUAAGAAAAUAUAAUGUAGGACUUAAGUUUUCACAAGAGAUUUGACGUUUAUAGUCAUUUUCAUUUUUUUAAAUUUAUUAUAGAAUAAUGAAAGAGACUUUAAUAUAAAAACAAAUUAAAAAAUGAGGUGGUAGUUUUAAGAUUGGCAUUUGAUUUAUCCGUUAAUAAAAAUAUGCUUGCAUGUUUCAUUUGUUUCACGUUCAACACAUAAUUUAAGCUAUUUUUGUUUUUCUUUCCUUUUCAUGAUUGUCUGGUAGGAAAGACGACUUACACUUCAACUAUAUGGGCCAUAGCCAUUAAGAUGUUAGUGGAGUGAAUUGACAGUAUUCUUGUUAUUGACGGCAGAAACUUUGAUUAGGAUGAUAUGUGCUAACUACUCAUUUCAUGCACGUCUCUAGAUUUGUCAAUUUAUCAUGCCAUCACUUCCAAAAUUCUAAAUAAUUACGUAAAUAUUUUAUGCCAUAUACAUCUAAUAGAGUUCUUAUGAUUUUUAUUGUCAAAUGUAUCCAAUCAUUAAUCACAAGAGACGUGUCUCACAGAAUAAACCUUGUGGAAGUUCAUGUUGAUAGCAAAUGAAACUUAAUUGAAGGCAAACUAUUGUAACUCAGGUGUCAUGGAAAAUAAAUUAUAUAUUAUAAGGUUACCUACUUCAAAUAAUUUAUUAUUGAAAAUUACAUGUGACAAAGCCUUCUACCUAACCAAAAUGAAUCAUACGAUUGGGGCUGGACAGCAAAUUUGGUUUUGAGUUGCACAAUUCAAUAAUCACGUCUAAGUUAGAGCUCCCAAGAAAAGUUAGGUCACCUCUUCUUUUAUAAUAAUUUUCAUUAACUUGAUUCUAGUGAUAUAAAACAGAUGAAAUCAUACGUAAUUUCAUCAUCCUUUUCAGAAUCUUCUCAAAUCUUAAUGUGAAUGGUAUUCAAAUCUCAAAUUUGUUUAUACUAUCUAAAAAGAAUUACUCAUAUCCAAAGUUUUUUUAAUAAUUAAGAUAAAGUUGUACUUUAGGCAUAUAACAGCUAAUGGUAUAGAGUUCAAUAUAAUAAUAUUAUAUCUUAAAUUUU